UGGGGCAUUGGGGUUUGUUGGUGUCGAUCAAAAAUAAAAAGAGGGUGUGAAAGGCUAGUGUGAAGAUAUCUUCCUGGUGAUUCUUCCUUGCCACAAGUCUUCUUUUCAAUGCCCUCUACUUCCUUUCGUCCACAUGCCUAAAAUAGAGAGAGAGAGAAGAAGAAGAGAAGAGAAACAUUCUCAUCCCUUCUUGGUAUCCUAGAAGCCAUCUCCCUCGAUUCAACAUGAAAGAGUUUGCACAGAGAUCUUCUC
rnacentral:lncRNA from 1 species